GGACACAGAGAAGAUUAGCGCGGCCCCUGUGCAAGGAUGACAUGCAAAUUCGUGAAGCGCUCCACAUUUUU
rnacentral:snRNA from 14 species